rnacentral:lncRNA from 1 species
UGCUUUCGAUAUUUGGAGAAAGAAUGGUUAUGCACAGAAACAUGAGUUCAACAUUGAUGGGCAGGUUGAUGUUAUCUUAUAUUAAGAAACCAUAACGACAUCACACAGAAAGCCAAAGAGUUCAUCUAGGGUUCCGGCGAACUUUCGGACAAGCUCUGGUUUAUAUGUUGGUGUUUACCUUGCUAGCCCUUUGAUAUGAAUUUUGAUGGCACCAGGUUUGACACUCAAUAAAAAUUAAUGGUGUAGUAAAGACUAUACUAAGACAUUUUAAGAAAUCGUAAGCAUGACUCGAGACGAUUGAGUAUAGCUAUGCUUCGUGACUUCUUCAAAUCAAACUUCAAUCUUGAUUCACCCACCACAAAUGAUUUGCAGCAAGCUUAGUUUAGGAGAUUCGCAACAAUUUGAAUCGAAACUUUUGUUUAACUUAAUCACUGAUUUUACUCAAAUAUUUUUAUGAUGUUUUGAGCAGAUUAUGAUUGUUUUUGUUUUUGUUUUAGGACUCAUAAAAGUCAGCUCCAAAAAGAAAAUCAUGCAUUAGCAGUACUGCAGUAGCGGUUAGUUCGCCACCAUCUACAACCAACAGUCAACAAGAUCUGCAUAGUCAGAAAUUGAGCUAUACUUCGUGACUUCUUCAAAUCAAACAUCAAUCUUGAUUCACCCACCACAAAUGCUCCAAAAGAAAAUCAUGCAUUAGCAGUACUGCAGUAGCGGUUAGUUCGCCACCAUCUACAACCAAUAGUCAACAAGAUCUACAUAGUCAGAAAUUGAGGUAAACUCCAAACGAACAUUACCCCAAUCUCAAAAGCCAUAUAUACAGUUUAAUAUAAAUUCAGAAACUAUGGGAAUGCUUGAAAAGAUUAACUAGCUUUAUGGUUUUGUACAGUACAUGGUUUUAAGGUCAUCCAAAUGAGUUGAUUACAUGCUUUAUUAAGCAUAAAGAAUUAGCAAUG